GCUGGGCGUGGUGGUGCGCGCCUGUAGUCCCAGCUACUUGGGAGGCUGAGGUGGGAGGAUCGCUUGAGUCCAGGAACUUGAGGCUGCAGUGAGCCAAGAUAGCCCCACUGCAUUUGAGCCUGGGUGACAGAGUGAGACCCUGUCUCCA
ensembl:misc_RNA Metazoa_SRP Metazoan signal recognition particle RNA